UGGCUCAGGAUGAACGCUAGCGACAGGCCUAACACAUGCAAGUCGAGGGGCAGCACAAGGAGUAAUCUGAGGUGGCGACCGGCGCACGGGUGAGUAACACGUAUGCAACCUGCCUGUAAGCGGGGAAUAACCCGUUGAAAGACGGACUAAUACCGCAUAAUACUAAAUUACUGCAUGGUAAUUUAUUUAAACAUUUAUGGCUUACAGAUGGGCAUGCGCAUGAUUAGCUAGUUGGAGAGGUAACGGCUCCCCAAGGCAACGAUCAUUAGGGGUUCUGAGAGGAAGGUCCCCCACACUGGUACUGAGACACGGACCAGACUCCUACGGGAGGCAGCAGUGAGGAAUAUUGGUCAAUGGACGAGAGUCUGAACCAGCCAAGUCGCGUGCAGGAAGAAUGUCCCUAUGGAUUGUAAACUGCUUUUGCAGGGGAAUAAAGUGCAUCACGUGUGAUGUUUUGUAUGUACUCUGCGAAUAAGGAUCGGCUAACUCCGUGCCAGCCGCGGC
rnacentral:rRNA from 1 species